rnacentral:rRNA from 1 species
ACAAUUAGGAGAACAAGUUUGGAAUACUUGGCCAUAGAGAGUGAUAGUCUCGUAUCCGAAAAUUGAAACAAUCCGAUUGGAUCCCAAGUAGCAUGGAGCACGUGAAAUUCCGUGUGAAUCUGCGAGGACCACCUCGUAAGGCUAAAUAUUCCUGAAUGACCGAUAGUGAAAUAGUACCGUGAGGGAAAGGUGAAAAGAACCCCGGGAGGGGAGUGAAAAGAACAUGAAACCAUAAACUUACAAGCAGUAGGAGGACGACUAAAACGUUUGACUGCGUGCCUGUUGAAGAAUGAGCCGGCGACUUAUAGCUAGUGGCAGGUUAAAGUAGAGAAUACUGAAGCCAUAGUGAAAGCGAGCCUGAAUAGGGCGUUUGUCACUAGUUAUAGACCCGAACCCGGAUGAUCUAACCAUGGCCAGGUUGAAGCUUGGGUAAUACCAAGUGGAGGACCGAACCGACUGAUGUUAAAAAAUCAGCGGAUGAGUUGUGGUUAGGGGUGAAAUGCCAAUCGAAUUCGGAGCUAGCUGGUUCUCCCCGAAAUGCGUUUUGGCGCAGCGGUAA